rnacentral:rRNA from 1 species
CGUUGCGCGAUGGGGGUUGUGGGGUUUGUCCGGAACCUGCCGCAGCGGGAUCGGGGAGUUANAAACGCUUUCUGUAGCCGAACGGUGUUGGGAAAGCCGGUCGAAGAGGGUGAAAGCCCCGUAGGCGAAACGGAAGGCACUUNAACCCGGCUGGGUGUUGAGCCCAGUCGCCUCUAANGAGGCGGUCACCCGGCGAAGUGAAACAUCUCAGUAGCCGGAGGAGAAGAAAUCGAAGAGAUGCCCUGAGUAGUGGUGAGCGAAAGGGGUGNAGCCUAAACCNNUUGCGUGUCAAGCCUGCGGGCGUUGCGCGAUGGGGGUUGUGGGAUUUGUCCGGAACCUGCCGCAGCGGGAUCGGGGAGUUANAAACGCUUUCUGUAGCCGAACGGUGUUGGGAAAGCCGGUCGAAGAGGGUGAAAGCCCCGUAGGCGAAACGGAAGGCACUUCCUGGGACAGAAACCCGAGUAGGGCGGAGCACGUGGAAUUCCGUCUGAAUCUGGGCCGACCACGGUCCAAGGCUAAAUACCGCAGGCGACCGAUAGUGGAGCAGUACCGAGAGGGAAAGGUGAAAAGCACCCCUGGCGGGGAGUGAAAUAGACCUGAAACCGUGUGCCUACAAGCAGUCGGAGCCGGAAGCGGGGGCGACCUCGUGGAAGGUGACGGCGUGCCUCUUGGAAAAUGAGCCGGCGAGUUAUGGUGUGUGGCGAGGUUAAGGGCUUAUAGGUCCGGAGCCGAAGGGAAACCGAGUCUGAAUAGGGCGCGAGUCGCAUGCUAUAGACCCGAAGCCGUACGAUCUAUCCAUGGCCAGGUUGAAGUCCGGGUAAAACCGGAUGGAGGACCGAACCAGGGACUGUUGCAAAAGUCUUGGAUGAGCUGUGGAUAGGAGUGAAAAGCUAAUCGAGUACGGUGAUAGCUGGUUCUCCCCGAAAUGCAUUGAGGUGCAGCCUCAGGCGGAGAACGUNNCGGAGGUAGAGCUACUGGAUGGACGAGGGGGAGAGUGCUCCUACCGACUUCAACCAAACUCCGAAUGCCGUNACGGGAUACCUGGGAGUGAGACGGCGAGUGAGAAGAUCCGUCGUCGAGAGGGAAAGAACCCAGACCGCCAGCUAAGGUCCCGAAGCGCGGGCUAAGUGUGGUAAGGAUGUGGAGACGCCCAGACAGCCAGGAGGUUGGCUUAGAAGCAGCCACCCUUGAAAGAGUGCGUAAUAGCUCACUGGUCGAGCGUCUCUGCGCCGAAAAUGUAGGGGGCUAAGCCCGCCGCCGAAGCUGCGGAAUUCGCGCAAAUUGCGCGGACUGGUAGGGGAGCGUUCCAUGCUGGGNGAAGUCGCGUCGAGAGUCGCGGUGGACGGCAUGGAAGUGAGAAUGUCGGCAUGAGUAGCGAAAAACACGUGGGAAACGUGUUCACCGAAAGCCCAAGGUUUCCUGGGGAAGGUUCAUCCACCCAGGGUUAGGCGGGACCUAAGGCGAGGCCGAGAGGCGUAGUCGAUGGACAGCCGGUUGAUAUUCCGGCCCCGCCCCGAGGACGAUUGGACCGAAGGGGUGACGCAGGAGGCUAGGUGUGCCGGGUGAUGGAAGUCCCGGUCCAAGGGUGUAGGGGGACUCUGGAGGCAAAACCCUGGAGUCGCAACCCUGAGGCCUGACGGGGAGUCCCUUCGGGGACGAAGGCAUUGAGGCCAGGCUGCCGAGAAAAGCCUCUAGGGAGGAAUCGGGGCGCCCGUACUGGAAACCGACACAGGUGGGCUGGCUGAGCAGGCUAAGGUGAACGGGAUAACUCUCGUUAAGGAACUCUGCAAGUUGACCCCGUAACUUCGGGAGAAGGGGUGCCACCCUGGUGAGGCGUAAAGCAUGCGGAGCUGAGGGUGGUCGCAGAAACCAGGCCCAGGCGACUGUUUAAUAAAAACACAGGUCUCUGCUGAAGGCGUGAAGCCGACGUAUAGGGACUGACACCUGCCCGGUGCUGGAAGGUUAAGGGGAGAGGUUAGCCGCGAGGCGAAGCUUUGAACCGAAGCCCCAGUAAACGGCGGCCGUAACUAUAACGGUCCUAAGGUAGCGAAAUUCCUUGUCGGGUAAGUUCCGACCUGCACGAAUGGUGUAACGAUCUGGGCGCUGUCUCGACGGGAGACCCGGCGAAAUUGUGGAACUGGUCAAGACGCCAGUUGCCCGUGGUGGGACGGAAAGACCCCGUGGAGCUUUACUGUAUCCUGAUAUUGGAUUUCGGCAAGGCAUGUACAGGAUAGGUGGGAGGCAUGGAAGCGAGGGCGUCAGCCUUCGUGGAGCCGACGUUGGGAUACCACCCUUGUUUUGCUGGGAUUCUAACCGCCGUGUCUGAAUCGGCAGGCGGGACCGUGUCAGGUGGGCAGUUUGACUGGGGCGGUCGCCUCCCAAAGAGUAACGGAGGCGCGCGAAGGUCACCUCAGGGCGUAUGGAAACCGCCCGUUGAGUGCAAGGGUAUAAGGUGGCCUUACUGUGAGACCGACGGGUCGAGCAGUCACGAAAGUGGGUCCUAGUGAUCCGGCGGUGCCGAGUGGAAGGGCCGUCGCUCAUCGGAUAAAAGCUACCCCGGGGAUAACAGGCUGAUCUCGCCCGAGAGUUCCUAUCGACGGCGAGGUUUGGCACCUCGAUGUCGGCUCAUCGCAUCCUGGGGCUGAAGCAGGUCCCAAGGGUUGGUCUGUUCGCCCAUUAAAGCGGUACGUGAGCUGGGUUUAGAACGUCGUGAGACAGUUCGGUCCCUAUCCACCAUGGGCGCAAGUGAUUUGAGGGGAGCUGCUCCUAGUACGAGAGGACCGGAGUGGACGAACCGCUAGUGUACCGGUUGUGCCGCCAGGCGCAUAAGCCGGGUAGCCAUGUUCGGAUCGGAUAACCGCUGAAGGCAUCUAAGCGGGAAGCCGGCCCCAAGAUGAGAUCACUCACUGAGUCAAUCAGGUAAGGCGUCCCGUAGACGACGGGAUGGAUAGGCCGGGGGUGUAAGCCCUGAGAGGGGUUGAGCUGACCGGUACUAAUACGCCGAGGCCUUGACUCC